GACGAACGCUGGCGGCGUGCCUAAUACAUGCAAGUCGAGCGGACGAAUCGAAAGCUUGCUUUUGAUUCGUUAGCGGCGGACGGGUGAGUAACACGUGGGCAACCUGCCCUGUAGACGGGGAUAACACCGAGAAAUCGGUGCUAAUACCGGAUAACACGAAAUGUCGCAUGACGUUUCGUUGAAAGACGGCGCAAGCUGCCGCUACAGGAUGGGCCCGCGGCGCAUUAGCUAGUUGGUGAGGUAACGGCUCACCAAGGCGACGAUACGUAGCCGACCUGAGAGGGUGAUCGGCCACACUGGGACUGAGACACGGCCCAGACUCCUACGGGAGGCAGCAGUAGGGAAUCUUCCGCAAUGGACGAAAGUCUGACGGAGCAACGCCGCGGGAGCGAAGAAGGCCUUCGGGUCGUAAAGCUCUGUUGUUAGGGAAGAACAAGUAACGCAGUAACUGGCGUUACCGUGACGGUACCUAACGAGAAAGCCACGGCUAACUACGUGC
rnacentral:rRNA from 1 species